GUAUGUAAGUGCUUUCGCUUCUUCGUAGACUCCGAAGAAAAUAAAGCCUCCUAAUGUGAUCCACAUUACUCUCAGGGGAAAACCAGCAAAUAGGGAAAACGGAAGAAGGGAGAUACUUACCCACGAAAACCAUUUUCCAGAUACACCCUGCGAAGUAUAUCUAGUAUCUUUAAUUCUGACGAAAGCAAUGUCCUACUCGACAGCAUUAUUCUCGUUUUUGCAACAUCUAACGGAGUCGUAACAGCCGCGGAGACGCCUCCUAAAAUAUACACGGCGUAAACACAUGUAGAUGCGAUCUAAUAUAAAUACGAAUAAUGAUCUCUCUAU